rnacentral:rRNA from 1 species
GGCUUAACACAUGCAAGUCGAGGGGAAACGACAUCGAAAGCUUGCUUUUGAUGGGCGUCGACCGGCGCACGGGUGAGUAACGCGUAUCCAACCUGCCCACCACUUGGGGAUAACCUUGCGAAAGUAAGACUAAUACCCAAUGACGUCUCUAGAAGACAUCUGAAAGAGAUUAAAGAUUUAUCGGUGAUGGAUGGGGAUGCGUCUGAUUAGCUUGUUGGCGGGGUAACGGCCCACCAAGGCGACGAUCAGUAGGGGUUCUGAGAGGAAGGUCCCCCACAUUGGAACUGAGACACGGUCCAAACUCCUACGGGAGGCAGCAGUGAGGAAUAUUGGUCAAUGGACGAGAGUCUGAACCAGCCAAGUAGCGUGCAGGAUGACGGCCCUAUGGGUUGUAAACUGCUUUUAUAAGGGAAUAAAGUGAGUCUCGUGAGACUUUUUGCAUGUACCUUAUGAAUAAGGACCGGCUAAUUCCGUGCCAGCAGCCGCGGUAAUACGGAAGGUCCGGGCGUUAUCCGGAUUUAUUGGGUUUAAAGGGAGCGUAGGCCGGAGAUUAAGCGUGUUGUGAAAUGUAGAUGCUCAACAUCUGCACUGCAGCGCGAACUGGUUUCCUUGAGUACGCACAAAGUGGGCGGAAUUCGUGGUGUAGCGGUGAAAUGCUUAGAUAUCACGAAGAACUCCGAUUGCGAAGGCAGCUCACUGGAGCGCAACUGACGCUGAAGCUCGAAAGUGCGGGUAUCGAACAGGAUUAGAUACCCUGGUAGUCCGCACGGUAAACGAUGGAUGCCCGCUGUUGGUCUGAAUAGGUCAGCGGCC